AGUGGCCGUUCUUGGGCGGCUGGAAAGUUAGAAAGUUUGUGAGGGCGGCGGCAAAGCUUCGCAGAGACGCUCACUCUUGGUUCUCGCGGCUGAGCAGGGUGAGUGGUGCUGGCCGCCGAGCGGGCGUGGCCCGGCCCCAGGAGGUGUCCUCGCCGGGCGGCGGUGAACGUGGGGGCCGCCGGGAGCCGCGGCUGGGGAGCGCACCUGGGCAGGUGUGUCUCCGCGAGCCCGGGGAGAGCGGGGCGUGGAGCAACGGGCCGGGGAGCCGGGGCAGCCCGGGCGCAGACGUCGCUCUGCUUCCCAAACUUGGAUCUUGGGAAAUGUUGCUUAGCUCGCCAGCGCGGUGCGCCUUGGACCAUUGCCUGCCCGCGAAACCAGAGCCCCACAGAGCUGACUCCGGAGCUCUGUUGAGUUGCUAACGUAAACUUGCGGGAACCGAGAGAGUUGUGGAUAAAACCGUAGCACAGCCGCCCUCGGCCCUGUCUUUGCAGCUCAGCGCGCGCCCCUCUAAGUAGAACUUUUAAAAGUGCUAUUUGAACAGAGAGGAGAUUGAAGUUUUGUUUGCCUGAUAUUAAGAGUCAGUAGGGAUGUAAAUAUAUAAGAUCUUUA
rnacentral:lncRNA from 1 species